GCUGGGUAUGGCAGUACGCAUCUGUAGUCUCAGCUACUUGGGAGGCUGAGGCAGGAGGAUCACUUGAGCUCAGGAGUUCUGGGCUAGAAUGUGCUAUGUGAAUCAGGUGUCCAUACUAAGUUUGCCAUCAAUAUGGUGGCCUCCCAGGAGCAAGGGACCACCAGGUUGCCUAAGGAGGGGUGAACUGGCCCAGGUCAGAAAUGGAGCAGGUCAAAACUCCCAUGGUGAUCAGUAGUGGGAUCGCGCCUGUGAACAGCCACCACACUCCAGCCUUGGCAACAUAACAAAACCCCAUCUCC
rnacentral:SRP_RNA from 1 species